GGCGGCUGUCUGGUCUGUAACUGACGCUGAGGCUCGAAAGUAUGGGUAGCAAACAGGAUUAGAUACCUGGUAGUCCAUACCGUAAACGAUGAAUGCUAAGUGUUGGAGGGUUUCCCCCUUCAGUGCUGCAGCUAACGCAUUAAGCAUUCCGCUGGGGAGUACGGCCGCAAGGCUGAAACUCAAAGGAAUUGACGGGGGCCCGCACAAGCGGUGGAGCAUGUGGUUUAAUUCGAAGCUACGCGAAGAACCUUACCAGGUCUUGACAUACUAUGCAAAUCUAAGAGAUUAGACGUUCCCUUCGGGGACAUGGAUACAGGUGGUGCAUGGUUGUCGUCAGCUCGUGUCGUGAGAUGUUGGGUUAAGUCCCGCAACGAGCGCAACCCUUAUUAUCAGUUGCCAGCAUUAAGUUGGGCACUCUGGUGAGACUGCCGGUGACAAACCGGAGGAAGGUGGGGAUGACGUCAAAUCAUCAUGCCCCUUAUGACCUGGGCUACACACGUGCUACAAUGGAUGGUACAACGAGUUGCGAACUCGCGAGAGUAAGCUAAUCUCUUAAAGCCAUUCUCAGUUCGGAUUGUAGGCUGCAACUCGCCUACAUGAAGUCGGAAUCGCUAGUAAUCGCGGAUCAGCAUGCCGCGGUGAAUACGUUCCCGGGCCUUGUACACACCGCCCGUCACACCAUGAGAGUUUGUAACACCCAAAGUCGGUGGGGUAACCUUUAGGAACCAGCCGCCUAAGGUGGGACAGAUGAUUAGGGUGAAGUCGUAACAAGGUAACCA
rnacentral:rRNA from 1 species